UAUUGUGUAAUUUUGCAGAGCACAGUGAUUUUAGGGAAUGCAUAUGUUGUGUUGUAGUAGAACUAACCGCCAUAUCUUUUUAUCUUAUUUAAUUCUUUCCAAAACUAUCAUUUUUCAUAGGAGAACACUGUAAUUCAAGGAUUUUGAAUAAUUUACCCAAGAAUAAAGAGCUGAUGCUCUACAGUUUGAAAUUAUCUGCUUUCACCAAGAAAAGUAACAGUGCAUUCCUGAGUUUGCCUGGGAAUGAAGACACUUACGAGUCAGUGACCACAAACACAUAGGAUUUGGAUGUGGAAAGAUGACUAAGUCACAGUCCUGGCCUUCAAGGAGCUCAAAGCCUACUAAGAAGAAAACAGUUACCAUAUAAUAAGUGCUGUAACAAAGAUUUUACAAGGUAGUGUAUUAUCAUGGUGGGAAAAAACCUCUAAUUGCCCAUCUCGGAGGAUGGGAAUUU